rnacentral:rRNA from 1 species
GUGCACCAGGCGAGAAUCUUUCACAAUGGGGCAACCCUGAUGGAGCGACGCCGCGUGGAGGAUAAGGUCUUCGGAUUGUAAACUCCUGUCAUGCGAGAGCAAGGCAUAGCAAUAUGCUUGAUAGUAUCGCAAGAGGAAGAGACGGCUAACUCUGUGCCAGCAGCCGCGGUAAUACAGAGGUCUCAAGCGUUGUUCCGGAAUCACUGGGCGUAAAGGGUGCGUAGGCGGCGAAGAAAGUCGGGUGUGAAAUUUGAAGGACUCAACCUUCAACUAGCACCUGAUACUACUUUGCUCGAGACCUGGAGAGGAGCUUGGAAUUCUCGGUGUAGCAGUGAAAUGCGUAGAUCUCGAGAGGAACGCUCGCUGCGAAAGCGAAGCUCUGGCCAGCGUCUGACGCUGAGGCACGAAGGCUAGGGGAGCGAACGGGAUUAGAUACCCGUGUAGU